rnacentral:rRNA from 1 species
GACGUAGGAUGCAAGCGUUGUCCGGAAUUAUUGGGCGUAAAGAGCGCGGAGGUGGUUUUUUAAGUCUGGUGUUAAAGCCCGAAGCUCAACUUCGGCAUGGCAUUGGAAACUGGGUAGCUAGAGUGUGGUAGAGGUAUCGGGAAUUCCUGGUGUAGCGGUGAAAUGCGUAGAUAUCAGGAGGAACACCGGCGGCGAAAGCGCGAUACUGGGCCAUAACUGACGCUGAGGAACGAAAGCCAGGGGAGCGAAAGGG